rnacentral:rRNA from 1 species
AUGCACCACGACGCGGAGGAUGACGGCCUCUUCACCGACUCCGGCCCCGUCCUCCCCGACCCCGCCCAGAUGGGGGCCGACGAGGGCUUCCUCCUCCGCGAGUGGCGCCGUCAAAAUGCACUCCUCCUGGAGGAAAAAGAGAAGCACGAGAAGGAGCUGAGGAGCCAAAUCAUCCUUGAAGCUGAAGAGUUCAAGAAGGGUUUCGUUGAGAAGCGCAAGUUGAACCUUGAGACAAGCAAGGAUCACAACCGGGAAAGGGAGAAGCUUUUCCUCUCCAACCAGGAGAAGUUCCACAAGGGCGCCGACAAGCAGUACUGGAAGGCGAUAUCCGAGCUCAUCCCACAGGAGAUUGCACACAUCGAGAAGAGGACAGGCAAGAAGGACAAGGACAAGAAGCCUGGGAUCAUCGUGGUCCAGGGCCCCAAGCCCGGGAAGGCCACCGACAUGGCACGGAUGCGCCAGAUCCUGUCGAAGCUGAAGCACACACCGCCGCCACACAUGAAGCCACCUCCACCACCCGCUGUUGCACCUGCCGGGAAGGACGGAGCUCCGGCCGCCGCUGGAAAGGACGGAGCUAAGGCGGCAGCGACACCUGCUGCCAAGGAUGCCCCUGCCAACGGCACUGUCCCUGAGAAGGAGAACGCAGCACCCGCCGUCGCUGCCGCCCCAGCAGCAGCAGCUCCGGCGCCACCAGCUGAGCCCAUCGCCGCUGCCUGA